UACAGAGGUCCCGAGCGUUAGGCGGAAUCACUGGGCUUAAAGCGUGUGUAGGCGGAUCGUUAAGUACCUUGUGAAAUCCCACGGCUUAACCGUGGAACUGCUUGGUAUACUGGCGGUCUUGAGCCACUUAGGGGCUACCGGAACAAAUGGUGGAGCGGUGAAAUGCGUAGAUAUCAUUUGGAACGCCAAUGGUGAAAACAGGUAGCUGGGAGUGUGCUGACGCUGAGACACGAAAGCCAGGGGGAGCAAAACGGGG
rnacentral:rRNA from 1 species